rnacentral:rRNA from 1 species
GCCGCGAGGUAGAGCAAAUCUCAAAAAAAACAUCUCAGUUCAGACUGCAGGCUGCAACUCGCCUGCACGAAGUCGGAAUUGCUAGUAAUCGUAGGUCAGCAUACUACGGUGAAUACGUUCCCGGGCCUUGUACACACCGCCCGUCAAACCAUGAGAGUUGGCAACACCCGAAGUCGGUAGUCUAACCGCAAGGAGGACGCCGCCGAAGGUGGGGUUGAUGAUUAGGGUUAAGUCGUAACAAGGUAGC